rnacentral:pre_miRNA from 1 species
UAGGUCGGGCCUGGGGGGCAGGUGGAAGGAAUGGCGGCCAAAAGCGGCAAGGGAGAGCGAUGGUUGCACUGCACUAGUUCUCUUUGCUGCUGCGGGCUGCUAACCUCCUGCCAAACAAGUCCGAUCUACA